rnacentral:rRNA from 1 species
AGAGUUUGAUCCUGGCUCAGAACGAACGCUGGCGGCGUGCUUAACACAUGCAAGACGCACGAGAAAGUCUUCGGAUGAGUAAAGUGGCGCACGGGUGAGUAAUAGUUAGGAACAUGCCUUUCACAGGGGGAUAACAGCUGGAAACGGCUGCUGAUACCGCAUGGUAUCGUAAGAUUAAAGAUGGCCUCUAUUUAUAAGCUAUCGGUGAAAGAUUGGCCUAACUCCCAUUAGCUAGUUGGCAGGGUAACGGCCUACCAAGGCUACGAUGGGUAGCUGGUCUGAGAGGAUGAUCAGCCACACUGGAACUGAGACACGGUCCAGACUCCUACGGGAGGCAGCAGUGGGGAAUCUUGCGCAAUGGACGAAAGUCUGACGCAGCAACGCCGCGUGAGUGAAGAAGGCCUUUGGGUUGUAAAGCUCCUUCGAACGGGAAGAAGGGUGAACACGCAAACAGCAGGUUCAUUUGACGGUACCGUAUGAAGAAGUCACGGCUAACUUCGUGCCAGCAGCCGCGGUAAUACGAAGGUGACAAGCGUUGUUCGGAAUCAUUGGGCGUAAAGCGCACGUAGGCGGGUUUGUAAGUCGAUUGUGAAAACCCUGGGCUCAACCCGGGACCUGCAGUCGAAACUACAAGUCUUGAAUGCUCGAGAGGAUAGUGGAAUUCCAGGAGUAGAAGUGAAAUUCGUAGAUAUCUGGAGGAACACCGGAGGCGAAAGCGGCUAUCUGGCGAGACAUUGACGCUAAGGUGCGAAAGCGUGGGGAUCAAACAGGAUUAGAUACCCUGGUAGUCCACGCCAUAAACGAUGAAUACUAGAUGUUCGGAGAGUUAACCCUCUGAGUAUCAAAGCUAACGCAUUAAGUAUUCCGCCUGGGAAGUACGGCCGCAAGGCUGAAACUCGAAGAAAUUGACGGGGGCCCGCACAAGAGGUGGAGUAUGUGGUUCAAUUCGAAGCAACGCGCAGAACCUUACCUGGUCUUGACAUCCCUUGAUAAUCCUAGAGAUAGGACUUUCCCUUCGGGGACAAGGUGACAAGUGCUGCAUGGCUGUCGUCAGCUCGUGUCGUAGGAUGUUGGGUUAAGUCCCGCAACGAGCGCAACCCCUGUCUUUAGUUGCCACCAUUAAGUUGGGCACUCUAAAGAGACCGCCGGUGUUAAACCGGAGGAAGGCGGGGAUGACGUCAAGUCCUCAUGGCCUUUACGACCAGGGCUACACACGUACUACAAUGGCAGAAACAAACCGAUGCAAAACCGCGAGGUGAAGCGAAUCGGAAAAACACUGCCUCAGUUCGGAUUGGAGUCUGCAACUCGACUCCAUGAAGCUGGAAUCUCUAGUAAUCGCAGAUCAGCACGCUGCGGUGAAUACGUUCCCGGGCCUUGUACACACCGCCCGUCACACCACGAAAGUGGUUAUAACCAGAAGCAGGUGAGCUAACUUCGGAGGCAGCCUACCAAGGUUAUAGCCGUGAUUGGGGUGAAGUCGUAACAAGGUA